GGGCAAGUAGCUCAGCUGGUUAGAGUAUACGCCUGAUAAGCGUAUGGUCGGGGGUUCAAGUCCCUUUUUGCCCA
rnacentral:tRNA from 1 species